rnacentral:rRNA from 1 species
GGUUGAUCCUGCCAGUAGUCAUAUGCUUGUCCCAAAGAUUAAGCCAUGCAUGUCCAAGUACAAUCACUUGUAUCGAGAAACUGCGAAUGGCUCAUUAUAUCAGUUACAAUUUAUUUGAUAGUCUCUUUACUACUUGGAUAACCGUGGUAAUUCUAGAGCUAAUACAUGCAAGAGGCCCGACUGCUUGCGGAAGGGCUGUAUUUAUUAGAUAAAAAACCGACGCCAGCGAUGGCUGCAGGUGAUUCAUGAUAACUUUGCGGAUCGUAUGGCCUUGUGCCGACGACGUUUCAUU